rnacentral:rRNA from 1 species
GUGGGGAAUAUUGGACAAUGGGCGAAAGCCUGAUCCAGCCAUGCCGCGUGUGUGAAGAAGGUCUUCGGAUUGUAAAGCACUUUAAGUUGGGAGGAAGGGCAGUAAGUUAAUACCUUGCUGUUUUGACGUUACCGAGAGAAUAAGCACCGGCUAACUUCGUGCCAGCAGCCGCGGUAAUACGAAGGGUGCAAGCGUUAAUCGGAAUUACUGGGCGUAAAGCGCGCGUAGGUGGUUUUGUAAGUUGGAGGUGAAAUCCCCGGGGUCAACCUGGGAACUGCCUCCAAAACUGCAUGACUAGAGUACGGUAGAGGGUAGUGGAAUUUCCUGUGUAGCGGUGAAAUGCGUAGAUAUAGGAAGGAACACCAGUGGCGAAGGCGACUACCUGGACUGAUACUGACACUGAGGUGCGAAAGCGUGGGGAGCAAACAGGAUUAGAUACCCUAGUAGUCC